AACGAACGCUGGCGGCAUGCCUAACACAUGCAAGUCGAACGAGACCUUCGGGUCUAGUGGCGCACGGGUGCGUACCGCGUGGGAACCUGCCCUUAGGUUCGGAAUAACUCCCCGAAAGGGGUGCUAAUAACGGAUAAUGUCUUCGGACCAAAGAUUUAUCGCCUUUGGAUGGGCCCGCGUUGGAUUAGCUAGUUGGUAGGGUAAAAGCCUACCAAGGCGACGAUCCAUAGCUGGUCUGAGAGGAUGAUCAGCCACACUGGGACUGAGACACGGCCCAGACUCCUACGGGAAGCAGCAGUGGGGAAUAUUGGACAAUGGGCGAAAGCCUGGUCCAGCAAUGCCGCGUGAGUGAUGAAGGCCUUAGGGUUGUAAAGCUCUUUUACCCGGGAUGAUAAUGACAGUACCGGGAGAAUAAGCUCCGGCUAACUCCGUG
rnacentral:rRNA from 1 species